UCUCAAGCUUCCUUGCAGGGCACUUGCAGUCGAAGUUUACGGGUUUUGAUUUAGUUUUCUAAUCUAAUCACAAUACUUCUCAUCAAGAUGACACACAAAAACUAUUCAAAAUCGAUUGACUUAUGUGAUCAUGUAAUAAAAGCAUGCAACUCGUAGAUAACGCGGAAAAGUCUCCACAGAAAAAAAUACCAAAACUUCAACUGUUGAAUCUUGACCCCUUCUGACUUUUCAACAGAAACGGCCUAAUUCUUCGAAGGAUAUUGCUACAACGAAUUAUCAUCCUUUCUGCUUCUGUAGUUAUCACAAACGAUUUAUACGACACUUGGCAAAACAGCGGCUUUAGGUUUAUACAAAUCACUUGACAUUUAUAA